rnacentral:lncRNA from 1 species
CUGCUGCCUGUCCCCGGAACCAUUGUCCUGGCUGUUCUUAAGGUUUGUCUUCCAUUGGCUGAAGAUGUAGUUUUGCUGGUACCUGUGGUUGGAACUGUUCUGUCCCAUUCUGAGCCUGAGCCUUCUAGGAUCUGGGUGAUGCCUGAGGUCCAUCCGUUGCCUGCUGAGGAUGCUGCUCCAGGAGAUGCUGUGGUGGGCUCACCGGAAGCUGGUGCUGCUGCAUAGGUGGUGUUGGAUGGACCUGUGUGGACACACAGAGAGAAAGGCCAAGCAGGAAGGCUACCUGGGUUACCUACUCGAUUCAGCAAAGGGCCUGUAUAUUCCCUAUUCAGCUACUCAUUCAUCUACUAUGCAUGCUACCAUUCAGCAAAAGGGCAAAGAAGCUGCUGAUUGCAUCAGACUGCAGCAUUCAAAGGGAUUUAUAUGCUCGCCAGAAAGAUGGACUCUGACUAGACACAGUCAGAUUCACGCUGAAGAAUAGCAUGUCGUUUCGGUCUCCUAUGCCACAGCGGUAAAGUCCCACGUCACCCAGGGACAGUCGGAGCAGCCUCACCACAAACAAACCGCUCUGUGGAAUGUCAGUGAGAGCCGCGCGCCCACGGUAGUCAGGGUGAGUGUAUUGGUUGGUGGACACGACAGUGUGACAGAUCCACAAUGGAGACCCCAGGCGGCACCAGUAUUUUCUUUGAUGCCUGUUGACUGAGGAGGGGGCGUAAUGGCAAUGGAUGGUGACAGCUCCCCCAGUGUUCCCAGUCACCAGUCGCGGGCCUCUCAAUGCAUUUGUACCUGCAGGCAGAGACAGCAAGUACAGGAGAGUCACUGUUGGAGAGUUAAUUACCGACUCCACUUGUCAGAAAAUGCAGCUGGGAAGGUGGCCUGUAGAACUGAAGAGAGCACAGCCACUGAGGGAGGAGGCUUUGCCCAAAGGUCUGAGUGGAAGCUGAAUUCAAGGUCUCAACACAAGGACUCUUACCCAGUAUUUGGCUAAUACAUAUGUGUUAGGAGUUCUCCUGCAAGUCUGUCUAGAAUCUGCAUUCAUUCCACUAAGCUCCAUCUAGAUGCCUGUAAGAAGGCGGAGGCCACUCCAGACAGAGGGCGCUGGUCAUCGUGGC